rnacentral:rRNA from 1 species
UACGUAGGGGCCGAGCGUUGUCCGGAGUUAUUGGGCGUAAAGCGCGCGCAGGCGGCUUCGCGCGCCCGACGUGAAAGCCCCCGGCUUAACCGGGGAGAGUCGUUGGGGACGGCGGAGCUUGAGGGCGGGAGAGGUCGGUGGAAUUCCCGGUGUAGUGGUGAAAUGCGUAGAGAUCGGGAGGAACACCUGUGGCGAAGGCGGCCGACUGGGCCGACCCUGACGCUGAGGCGGCGGAAAGCGUGGGGAGCGAACAGG